rnacentral:rRNA from 1 species
AUGAAGAUCAGUGCGCUCAUGACCUCUGCUGGCAUCAAUAUUGGGAUCUGCGUGCUCUUGUGGUCGCUCUAUUCCGUUCUCAGAAAGCAGCCAGCAUUUGUAAGGGUCUACUUCGGCCGGAGGAUCGCCGAGGAGAAUAGACUGCUCCGAGAGGCCUUCAUCUUGGAGAGGUUUGUUCCAUCCACUGGCUGGAUCGUCAAGGCCCUGCAGUGUACCGAGGAAGAGCUAUUGGCAGCUGCUGGGCUGGAUGCUGUUGCUUUCAAUAGAAUGCUAGUAUUCAGCAUACGCAUCUUUUCCCUAGCUGCCAUCCUGUGUCUUUUUGGAAUUCUUCCAGUGCAUUAUUUUGGACGAAAGAUGCAUCGCCUUGAGAUUUCGUCAGAACAAUUGCAUAUGUUCACAGUUGGUAAUGUGGAAGUGCAAUCAAGAUGGCUUUGGGUUCAUUCUAUAGUCCUCUACAUUAUAUCUGGAGUAGCUUGCUUUCUCCUAUAUGUUGAGUAUGGGCACAUUGCUAGGCUGAGGCUCCUUCACCUUAAACGUGCAACACUAAAUCCAGGUCAAUUUACCGUGCUUGUUCGCGGAAUACCAAAGACAGAAAAUGAAUCAUGCAGUAGUGAUGUCGAUGAUUUCUUCACCAAGUAUCAUGCAUCAAGUUACUUAUUCCAUCAAGUUGUUUACAAGGCUGGGAAAGUUCAGAAGAUAAUGACUGGUGCAAAGAAGGCAUGUGGAAUGUCAGACCCUUCCACAGACACAACUCUAGAUCAGAGGUGCAAGGCUGUUACAUACCCGUGUUGUCUUUGUGGAGCCUCUUCGGAUUCUUUCCAGUUGUUACCGACUGACGAAGUUGCAAAGAACAUAGAUAAGAAGGAAUGUGCAGCUGCUUUUGUAUUUUUCAAAACUCGGUAUGGAGCACUUGUUGCUUCAGAAGCACUUCAGACUUCGAACCCUACAAAGUGGGUUACUGAUCUAGCUCCAGAACCAGAUGAUGUGUAUUGGUCAAACAUUUGGCUUCCUUAUAAGCAGCUUUGGAUUCGACGGAUAGCUACUGUUCUAGGUUCUCUUGUUUUUCUGGUCUUAUUUGUGGUACCAGUGGCAUUUAUACAAGGUCUAUCCCAGCUUGAUCAGUUGCAGAAGAAGCUCCCUUUCCUUGAUGGGUUACUGAAGAAGCCAUACAUGAGCCAAAUAAUAACUGGAUACCUUCCUAGCGUCAUACUGCUACUAUUCCUGUACACCGUUUCGCCAAUAAUGAUACUGUUUUCGACAAUGGAGGGGCCUACAUCUCACAGUGAAAGGAAGAAGAGUGCUUGCUCUAAAGUGCUGCACUUCUACAUUUGGAAUGUGUUCUUUGUUAGUUUAGCAUCUGGUGCUGUCAUAAACCAAUUGAACCCUUCUUCGAGUACGAAGGACAUCGCUGUCCGGCUAGCUCGUGUCAUACCUGAGCAGACUACGUUCUUCAUCACCUAUGUUCUGACUUCAGGAUGGGCCAGUUUAUCAUCUGAACUUAUGCAACUCUUUGGUCUGAUCUAUAACUUUAUAAUAAAGUAUGUCCUGAGAAUGAAAGAAGAUAUCGCGUUUGUUCCCACAUUUCCUUAUCACACAGAAAUACCAAAAGUUAUGUUGUUUGGACUAUUGGGCUUCUCGUGCUCUGUACUGGCACCCUUGAUCUUACCUUUUCUGCUAGUCUACUUCUUCCUGGGUUAUGUUGUAUACCGCAAUCAGCUGCUCAAUGUUUACCGCAUGAGAUAUGACAGUGGUGGUUUGUAUUGGCCAAUUGUACACAACACGGUGAUAUUCUCUCUAGUGCUCACCCAGGUCAUCUGCUUCGGUGUAUUUGGCCUAAAAGAAUCACCAGUAGCUGCAGGCUUCACUAUACCUCCUAUCUUCUUUAUUCUUUCGUUCCAUCAGUAUUGUAGAACCCGAUUCCUUCCCCUGUUCAAAACUUUUCCGUCACAGGAUUUAAUCGACUUGGACAGGGAAGACCAAAGGUCAGGGAGAAUGGAACAUAUUCACCACGGACUCCGUUCCGCAUACCGCCAGUUCCCUGACAAUGAAGAUAUAAAGCUGGAGCAAAUCCUGACCGUCGGGAAUGAUGAGGACCAAGACGAAGGCUGUAGCUCGGGCGAGCGCAACGGAGAAGAAACCUGCAAGGAACAAGAGCCAGAAGGGAUCUGUGUCACUCAACUCUGA